rnacentral:lncRNA from 1 species
GUAGGAGAGAGACGAGAGACCCUGAAACACGCGCCACCUAUCUUUGUGGGGAGGGAUAAUUGAAGCGCCCUGAGCGUACCAGAGCCAGAAAAAAAAAUGCUGCAUGGGAGCUGCAUCUUAGGGCAUGUGUAUUAGGGUGUGUGCAUGAUGAAUUUCUGGACUGGAUCCCAAUAUUAAAAAGUAGUUUGGCAUUUUAAUAAAGGGUCUCUAAGUAAAUUAAAAUAGAACACUCGGUUGGCCGAUCUCUGAAUCUCUCUACACCUCGGGGAGACCUCACUACAAAGUAAGGGAGAGUGUGUAGGGAGGCAGGAGGAGAAACGAGAAAGGCCAUAGAGAAACUUAGCAGGGAAGGGAGAGCAUGAUAUUAAACGGCAUGGGGUCUAAGUUUUGGAGUAUAUAUUUUUUGAUAUUACAAUUAAAGUAAGAUUAAAAAGAAAAGA